rnacentral:misc_RNA from 1 species
GCAAGCAUAGUAAGAGGUUUUUUGUUUUUAGUGUUUGAAUUCCUGAGCAAUAGUCAUUUCUACACUUCAAAAUUUUCGAAUUUUCUUAGCUUGCCGUUAGUAGUUGAAGGGAGUGGUGGAAUUACUCUUCUCGUCGUCCUAGUAUCGUUGCUCCGAGAAAGGUUGGAGCCGAGUUGAAGGGUAGAAGGCAAGUUUGGGAAUCGACUCUCUCAAGACUAAAUAUGUCCUCAUAUAUUCGAAGGCAUAGUCUUUGUUUCUU